rnacentral:rRNA from 1 species
GACGAACGCUGGCGGCGUGCCUAAUACAUGCAAGUAGAACGCUGAAGCGAGGAGCUUGCUCUUCUUGGAUGAGUUGCGAACGGGUGAGUAACGCGUAGGUAACCUGCCUGGUAGCGGGGGAUAACUAUUGGAAACGAUAGCUAAUACCGCAUAAAAUUGAUUAUUGCAUGAUAAUUAAUUGAAAGAUGCAACUGCAUCACUACCAGAUGGACCUGCGUUGUAUUAGCUAGUUGGUGAGGUAACGGCUCACCAAGGCGACGAUACAUAGCCGACCUGAGAGGGUGAUCGGCCACACUGGGACUGAGACACGGCCCAGACUCCUACGGGAGGCAGCAGGAGGGAAUCUUCGGCAAUAGGGGGAACCCUGACCGAGCAACGCCGCGUGAGUGAAGAAGGUUUUCGAAUCGUAAAGCUCUGUUGUAAGAGAAGAACGGGUGUGAGAGUGGAAAGUUCACACUGUGACGGUAUCUUACCAGAAAGGGACGGCUAACUACGUG